AUGGGAACGCGAAGAACCUUACCUAGACUUGACAUCUCCUGAAUAGUGUAGAGAUACACGAAGCCCUUCGGGCGAGGAAGACAGGUGGUGCAUGGUUGUCGUCAGCUCGUGUCGUGAGAUGUUGGGUUAAGUCCCGCAACGAGCACAACCCUUAUUACUAGUUGCUACCAUUAAGUUGAGCACUCUAGUGAGACUGCCCGGGUUAACCGGGAGGAAGGCGGGAUGACGUCAAAUCAUCAUGCCCCUUAUGUCUAGGGCAACACACGUGCUACAAUGGUGAGUACAGAUAGAUGCGAUACCGCAAGGUGGAGCCAAACUCUAAAACUCAUCCCAGUUCGGAUUGUAGGCUGCAACUCGCCUACAUGAAGUUGGAGUUGCUAGUAAUCGCGAAUCAGAAUGUCGCGGUGAAUACGUUCCCGGGUCUUGUACACACCG
rnacentral:rRNA from 1 species